rnacentral:lncRNA from 1 species
UCGGAUCAAGGUGUUGAUAAUGAUCGGAUCAAGUAGAAGCUCUAGAUCGGAUCAAGAAGUUGAAGACGAUCAAACCAAUGACGUGUGUGUGCUUGUAAUUUAUGACCCUAAGACCCCGAUUCCGACUCAGUGGCUCGAGUCCGAAUCCACUUCUUAGAUCCAUGAUCAUCACCAGUUAUAUUAUGUUUUCAUGCGCGAAUUAUUUUUAUUU